rnacentral:rRNA from 1 species
GACAGAGGGGCAAGCGUUGCUCGGAAUUACUGGGCGUAAAGGGCGCGUAGGCGGAAUGGCAAGUCGGUCGUGAAAUCCUUCGGCUCAACCGAAGAACGUCGAUCGAACUGCCGUUCUUGAGAGUUGCAGAGGAGACUGGAAUUCCCGGUGUAGCGGUGAAAUGCGCAGAUAUCAGGAAGAACACCAAUGGCGAAGGCAGCUCUCUGGGACGGUACUGACGCUGAGACGCGAAAGCGUGGGAGCGAACAGG